rnacentral:rRNA from 1 species
GAUGAACGCUGGCGGCGUGCCUAAUACAUGCAAGUCGAGCGAACGGACGAGAAGCUUGCUUCUCUGAUGUUAGCGGCGGACGGGUGAGUAACACGUGGAUAACCUACCUAUAAGACUGGGAUAACUUCGGGAAACCGGAGCUAAUACCGGAUAAUAUUUUGAACCGCAUGGUUCAAAAGUGAAAGACGGUCUUGCUGUCACUUAUAGAUGGAUCCGCGCUGCAUUAGCUAGUUGGUAAGGUAACGGCUUACCAAGGCAACGAUGCAUAGCCGACCUGAGAGGGUGAUCGGCCACACUGGAACUGAGACACGGUCCAGACUCCUACGGGAGGCAGCAGUAGGGAAUCUUCCGCAAUGGGCGAAAGCCUGACGGAGCAACGCCGCGUGAGUGAUGAAGGUCUUCGGAUCGUAAAACUCUGUUAUUAGGGAAGAACAUAUGUGUAAGUAACUGUGCACAUCUUGACGGUACCUAAUCAGAAAGCCACGGCUAACUACGUGCCAGCAGCCGCGGUAAUACGUAGGUGGCAAGCGUCAUCCGGAAUUAUUGGGCGUAAAGCGCGCGUAGGCGGUUUUUUAAGUCUGAUGUGAAAGCCCACGGCUCAACCGUGGAGGGUCAUUGGAAACGUGGAAAACUUGAGUGCAGAAGAGGAAAGUGGAAUUCCAUGUGUAGCGGUGAAAUGCGCAGAGAUAUGGAGGAACACCAGUGGCGAAGGCGACUUGUCUGGUCUGUAACUGACGCUGAUGUGCGAAAGCGUGGGGAUCAAACAGGAUUAGAUACCCUGGUAGUCCACGCCGUAAACGAUGAGUGCUAAGUGUUAGGGGGUUUCCGCCCCUUAGUGCUGCAGCUAACGCAUUAAGCACUCCGCCUGGGGAGUACGACCGCAAGGUUGAAACUCAAAGGAAUUGACGGGGACCCGCACAAGCGGUGGAGCAUGUGGUUUAAUUCGAAGCAACGCGAAGAACCUUACCAAAUCUUGACAUCCUUUGACAACUCUAGAGAUAGAGCCUUCCCCUUCGGGGGGCAAAGUGACAGGUGGUGCAUGGUUGUCGUCAGCUCGUGUCGUGAGAUGUUGGGUUAAGUCCCGCAACGAGCGCAACCCUUAAGCUUAGUUGCCAUCAUUAAGUUGGGCACUCUAAGUUGACUGCCGGUGACAAACCGGAGGAAGGUGGGGAUGACGUCAAAUCAUCAUGCCCCUUAUGAUUUGGGCUACACACGUGCUACAAUGGACAAUACAAAGGGCAGCGAAACCGCGAGGUCAAGCAAAUCCCAUAAAGUUGUUCUCAGUUCGGAUUGUAGUCUGCAACUCGACUACAUGAAGCUGGAAUCGCUAGUAAUCGUAGAUCAGCAUGCUACGGUGAAUACGUUCCCGGGUCU